rnacentral:rRNA from 1 species
AGUGAACGCUGGCGGUAGGCCUAACACAUGCAAGUCGAACGGCAGCACAGUAAGAGCUUGCUCUUACGGGUGGCGAGUGGCGGACGGGUGAGGAAUACAUCGGAAUCUACUUUUUCGUGGGGGAUAACGUAGGGAAACUUACGCUAAUACCGCAUACGACCUACGGGUUAAAGCAGGGGAUCUUCGGACCUUGCCCGAUUGAAUGAGCCGAUGUCGGAUUAGCUAGUUGGCGGGGUAAAGGCCCACCAAGGCGACGAUCCGUAGCUGGUCUGAGAGGAUGAUCAGCCACACUGGAACUGAGACACGGUCCAGACUCCUACGGGAGGCAGCAGUGGGGAAUAUUGGACAAUGGGCGAAAGCCUGAUCCAGCCAUACCGCGUGGGUGAAGAAGGCCUUCGGGUUGUAAAGCCCUUUUGUUGGGAAAGAAAAGCAGCAGGUUAAUACCCCGCUGUUCUGACGGUACCCAAAGAAUAAGCACCGGCUAACUUCGUG